rnacentral:rRNA from 1 species
UACGUAGGUGGCAAGCGUUGUCCGGAUUUACUGGGCGUAAAGAGCGCGCAGGCGGUCGUUCAAGUCGCGUGUGAAAGCCCCCGGCUCAACUGGGGAGGGUCACGCGAUACUGAUCGACUCGAAGGCAGGAGAGGGAAGUGGAAUUCCGCGUGUAGCAGUGAAAUGCGUAGAGAUGCGGAGGAACACCGAUGGCGAAGGCAGCCCCCUGGGCUAACACUGACGCUCAGGCACGAAAGCGUGGGGAGCAAACAGG